UCCAGCACGCGGUCGUACCAGAGGCAGGAGAAGGCUCUUCUCAGCACAGCACAUACGCUAGUUUUCCUUCCCACUGCACCUGUUUAUGGCAUUUCAGGUUUCCUUAGGUGACCUGUCAGCGUUGGGUGACCUGUCAGUGUUGGGUGACCUGUCAGUGUUGGGUGACCUGCCAGUGUGAGCUGACGGAUGCAGCUGGAGCAGGCGGGGAGCCUUGGUGCUCACACAGGACCAAGAAUCUUCCUUUUGCUCAGAGCGAGCAUGAAUAAGUGAUGGUGACCUACAGAAGAAAAUUUCUCUUUCUUCCACACAAAAAUGCACAGAAAGAACAGACCGUGAGAGGAGGAUGAAUCAGCAGAUGAGGCGCAUGAGGC